rnacentral:rRNA from 1 species
GAACAAACGCUGGCGGCGUGUCUUAAGCAUGCAAGUUGAGCGGCAAGGAGGAGAGAUCCUCCCUAGAGCGGCGGACUGGUGAGUAACGCGUGGGUAAUCUAUCUUAGGCAUGGGGAUAGUCACUAGAAAUAGUGGGUAAUACCGAAUAAGUUCCAUAAGGGGAGGACUUAUGGAAGAAAGGUGCUACGGCACUGGCCUUAGGUGAGCUCGCGUCCCAUUAGCUAGUUGGUGAGGUAAAGGCCCACCAAGGCGAUGAUGGGUAGCCGGCCUGAGAGGGUGUACGGCCACACUGGGACUGAGAUACGGCCCAGACUCCUACGGGAGGCAGCAGCUAAGAAUAUUCCGCAAUGGACGGAAGUCUGACGGAGCGACGCCGCGUGGAUGGAGAAGGCCGAAAGGUUGUAAAGUUCUUUUGCUAGGGGAGAAUAAGUGUGGGAGGGAAUGCCUGCACGAUGACAAGGACUAGCGAAUAAGUCCCGGCCAACUACGUGCCAGCAGCCGCGGUAACACGUAGGGGGCGAGCGUUGUUCGGAAUUACUGGGCGUAAAGGGCAUGUAGGCGGCUUGGUAAGCCUGGCGUGAAAGUCUGCAGCUUAACUGUAGGGAUGCGUUGGGAACUGCUUAGCUUGAGUUACGGAGAGGGAGCUGGAAUUCCUGGUGUAGGGGUGAAAUCUGUAGAUAUCAGGAAGAACACCGAUGGCGAAGGCAAGCUUCUGGCCGACAACUGACGCUGAGGUGCGAAAGUGUGGGGAUCAAACAGGAUUAGAUACCCUGGUAGUCCACGCCGUAAACGAUGAGCACUAAGUGUCGGAGUAAAAUUCGGUGCUGCAGUUAACACAGUAAGUGCUCCGCCUGGGGAGUACGGUCGCAAGACUGAAACUCAAAGGAAUUGACGGGGACUCGCACAAGCGGUGGAGCAUGCGGUUUAAUUCGAUGCAACGCGAAGAACCUUACCAGGUCUUGACAUACUGUUGCUGGGGUUAGAGAUAAUCCGUUUCUUCGGAACAACAGAUACAGGUGGUGCAUGGUUGUCGUCAGCUCGUGUCGUGAGAUGUUGGGUUAAGUCCCGCAACGAGCGCAACCCUUAUCAAUAGUUGCUAACAGUAAGAUGAGCACUCUAAUGAGACCGCCGGCGCAAGCCGGAUGAAGGUGGGGAUGACGUCAAAUCAUCAUGCCCCUUAUGACCUGGGCUACACGCGUGCUACAAUGGCUAGUACAAAGAGUUGCGAAGCCGCGAGGUGGAGCUAAUCUCACAAAGCUAGUCUCAGUUCGGAUUGUAGUCUGCAACUCGACUACAUGAAGUUGGAAUCGCUAGUAAUCGUGAAUCAGCAUGUCACGGUGAAUACGUUCUCGAGUCU